rnacentral:rRNA from 1 species
UACGGGGGGGGCGAGCGUUGUUCGGAAUUACUGGGCGUAAAGGGUUUGUAGGUGGUCUGCUAAGUCAGACGUGAAAUCCCUCAGCUUAACUGGGGAACUGCGUCUGAUACUGGCGGACUUGAGGACAGGAGAGGAACGCGGAAUUCCAGGUGUAGCGGUGAAAUGCGUAGAUAUCUGGAGGAACACCGGUGGCGAAGGCGGGUCUCUGGGCCGAUACUGACGCUGAGGAGCGAAAGCGUGGGGAGCGAACAGG